AACAAACGCUGGCGGCGUGUCUUAAGCAUGCAAGUCGGGCGGCAAGGGCAGCAAUGCCCCUAGAGCGGCGGACUGGUGAGUAACGCGUGGGUGAUCUACCUUGGUCAUGGGGAUAGCCAUUAGAAAUAGUGGGUAAUACCGAAUACGUUCGCGCAGGUGAAGCUGCGCGAGGAAAGGUGCUACGGCACCGGGCCAAGAUGAGCCCGCGUCCCAUUAGCUAGUUGGUGAGGUAACGGCCCACCAAGGCGAUGAUGGGUAGCCGGCCUGAGAGGGUGUACGGCCACACUGGGACUGAGAUACGGCCCAGACUCCUACGGGAGGCAGCAGCUAAGAAUAUUCCGCAAUGGACGAAAGUCUGACGGAGCGACGCCGCGUGGAUGAUGAAGGCCGAAAGGUUGUAAAAUCCUUUUGCUGGGGAAGAAUAAGUCUGGGAGGGAAUGCCCGGAUGAUGACAUGAACCGGCGAAUAAGCCCCGGCCAACUACGUGCCAGCCGCCGCCGUAAAAC
rnacentral:rRNA from 1 species